UGCGUAGGCGGGCUAAUAAGUAAGUGGUGAAAUCUCUCGGCUCAACCGGGAAACUGCCAUUGAUACUGUUAGUCUUGAGUUCGGUUGAGGUAGGCGGAAUGUGUAAUGUAGCGGUGAAAUGCUUAGAUAUUACACAGAACACCAAUUGCGUAGGCAGCUUACUAGACCGACACUGACGCUGAGGCACGAAAGCGUGGGGAGCGAACAGGAUUAGAUACCCUGGUAGUC
rnacentral:rRNA from 1 species